UACGGAGGGAGCUAGCGUUGUUCGGAAUUACUGGGCGUAAAGCGCACGUAGGCGGCUUUGUAAGUUAGAGGUGAAAGCCCGGGGCUCAACCCCGGAAUUGCCUUUAAGACUGCAUCGCUUGAAUCCGGGAGAGGUGAGUGGAAUUCCGAGUGUAGAGGUGAAAUUCGUAGAUAUUCGGAAGAACACCAGUGGCGAAGGCGGCUCACUGGACCGGUAUUGGCGCUGAGGUGCGAAAGCGUGGGGAGCAAACAGG
rnacentral:rRNA from 1 species